UACGAAGGGGGCUAGCGUUGCUCGGAAUUACUGGGCGUAAAGCGCACGUAGGCGGUCUUUUAAGUCGGGGGUGAAAUCCUGGAGCUCAACUCCAGAACUGCCUUCGAUACUGGAAGACUCGAGUCCGGGAGAGGUGAGUGGAACUGCGAGUGUAGAGGUGAAAUUCGUAGAUAUCGGGAGGAACACCUGUGGCGAAAGCGGCGCACUGGACCAUAACUGACGCUGAGGCGCGAAAGCUAGGGGAGCAAACCGG
rnacentral:rRNA from 1 species